rnacentral:rRNA from 1 species
AAAUCCCCGGGCUCAACCUGGGAACUGCAUUGGUGACUGGCAGGCUAGAGUAUGGAUUAGGGAAAUG